rnacentral:rRNA from 1 species
AUUGAACGCUGGCGGCAUGCUUUACACAUGCAAGUCGAGCGGCAGCGCGGGGCAACCUGGCGGCGAGCGGCGAACGGGUGAGGAACACAUCGGAACGUGUCCCGUAGUGGGGGAUAGCCCGGCGAAAGCCGGAUUAAUACCGCAUAUUUCUCUUUGGAGGAAAGCCGGGGACCUGAAAGGGCCUGGCGCUAUGGGGGCGGCCGAUGUCCGAUUAGCUAGUUGGUGGGGUAAAGGCCUACCAAGGCGACGAUCGGUAGCUGGUAUGAGAGGAUGAUCAGCCACACUGGGACUGAGACACGGCCCAGACUCCUACGGGAGGCAGCAGUGGGGAAUUUUGGACAAUGGGGGCAACCCUGAUCCAGCCAUGCCGCGUGCGGGAAGAAGGCCUUCGGGUUGUAAACCGCUUUUAGCCGGGAAGAAAAGGCAAGGGAUAACACCCCUUGUUCUUGACGGUACCGGCGGAAUAAGCACCGGCUAACUACGUGCCAGCAGCCGCGGUAAUAC